rnacentral:rRNA from 1 species
GGCGAAAUUGUAGUGCAAGUGAAGAUGCUUGCUACCCGCGAUUGGACGGAAAGACCCCGUAGAGCUUUACUGUAGCUUAGCAUUGAAUCUCGGUAUUGUCUGUACAGGAUAGGUGGGAGACUUGGAAACUUGGGCGUCAGCCUGAGUGGAGUCAUCCUUGGGAUACCACCCUGACAGUACUGGGGUUCUAACCGGCGGCCAUGAAUCUGGUCACGGGACAUUGUUAGG